rnacentral:rRNA from 1 species
UGAGGAACAUGACCUUCGGCGGGGGAUAGCCGGCCCAACGGCCGGGUAAUACCGCGUACGACCUUCCGGGGACAUCCCUGGAUGGUGAAAGCAGCAAUGCGCCGAUGGAGUGCCUCGCGGCCUAUCAGCUAGUUGGUGGGGUAAUGGCUCACCAAGGCGACGACGGGUAGCUGGUCUGAGAGGAUGGCCAGCCACAUUGGGACUGAGACACGGCCCAGACUCCGUACGGGAGCAG